rnacentral:rRNA from 1 species
GGUAGCGAGCUACCUGCAGUCGACGGUAGCACAGAGAGCUUGCUCUCGGGUGACGAGUGGCGGACGGGUGAGUAAUGUCUGGGAAACUGCCUGAUGGAGGGGGAUAACUACUGGAAACGGUAGCUAAUACCGCAUAACGUCGCAAGACCAAAGAGGGGGACCUUCGGGCCUCUUGCCAUCAGAUGUGCCCAGAUGGGAUUAGCUAGUAGGUGGGGUAACGGCUCACCUAGGCGACGAUCCCUAGCUGGUCUGAGAGGAUGACCAGCCACACUGGAACUGAGACACGGUCCAGACUCCUACGGGAGGCAGCAGUGGGGAAUAUUGCACAAUGGGCGCAAGCCUGAUGCAGCCAUGCCGCGUGUAUGAAGAAGGCCUUCGGGUUGUAAAGUACUUUCAGCGGGGAGGAAGGUGUUGUGGUUAAUAACCGCAGCAAUUGACGUUACCCGCAGAAGAAGCACCGGCUAACUCCGUGCCAGCAGCCGCGGUAAUACGGAGGGUGCAAGCGUUAAUCGGAAUUACUGGGCGUAAAGCGCACGCAGGCGGUCUGUCAAGUCGGAUGUGAAAUCCCCGGGCUCAACCGGGGAACUGCAUUCUAAACUGGCAGGCUGGAGUCUUGUAAAGGGGGGUAGAAUUCCAGGUGUAGCGGUGAAAUGCGUAAAGAUCUGGAGGAAAUACCGUGGCGAAGGGGGCCCCCUGGACAAAAACUGACCCUCAGGUGCAAAGGGUGGGGGAGCAAAAGGAUUAAAUCCCCUGGUAGCCCACCCCGAAAACAAUGCGAUUUGGAGGUGUGCCCUUGAGGGGGGGUUCCGGACUUAACCGUAAAUAAACCCCUGGGGGUACCGCCCCAGGUAAAACCAAUGAUUUAGGGGGCCCCCACAACGGGGAGAUGGGGUU